AAUCAGAUUGGUCAAAGUGCUGUCAUAAUUCAUCAAUCGAGUUCGCGAAUUGUAUUCUACGGAGUGUUAACAUGUAAAUGUGAUACGGGAAAUAACAAAUAUUCAUUUUAUUCAAACGAGACACAUUAUUUUAAUAAGUUCUUGCAUAAGAAAUCAUAUCGCAACCAGAUACUCAACAUUACCAACAAUUAAAAUGUAGUAGAUAUGCUGAACUGUACACCUUUCGUUGCAGAAGAAACGCGAGCAAGUGAGGCACUGAAUGAAAUGUAAAAGCUAUUAACUCCCUAAUUUAGUUCAUAUGAAAAGUGGCAACCAUGGCCUAAGGCAAUCUAAAUUCCACUGGAAGCACAUUCUUCCAUAAAUGGUUAAUCCGAAAUAGCCAUCCGUUAUACCCGUAAUACCCUGUAGCAAGUAACAUAAGCAGGCGAUGUUUCACCUACAUAGCAAAGUGUACACAGAUAACAUAAACACACCGAACAGAACAGGAAAACAAGAAGGAGCCGAAGGAGAAGGAAUGGUGUGCACGUUCAUUGCAUCAGACGUCUAAAUCGAAAUCGCAACGAAUUCAAUGCUUACUUAACCCACGCCGCAGUGCUAAUUCCGUCAACUUACAUUUAACCGCCCACAAUUUUAGCACUCACAUAUUGCAAGUGGGCGGAUUAUUGUGAUUGGCACCGCCCAGCUGGUGGAGUAGAUGCACUAGUAACGAAACGCUAUCAACCGGAAGUGACGACAACAACGGACAACGCCUAAAAGCAUACUGUGGAAUUUUAUUUCUUUAUUUGUCACGCUUGCUUGAUUUUAUUUUUAAUUAUCCGGCGCUGGCUGUGAAAAUGAAUUCCGCGAAUGGCAAACCAACAUGAACAACCAUAAAGAAAUGCAAAGUCAGCCAAAGCAGCAUCAAUCCCGGCUGGGUGGCCACCGAGAUCGUUCCGGACGAAACGAAGGCCAAGCUGGGCGAGGUAAUCCUCCAGGCGGACGACGUCGCUCAGGCUGUACUGUACGCCCUAUCCACGCCACCGCACACUCAGGUGGAGCAGAUAACGCUGAGGGCGGUGGGCGAAUAUUUCUGAUAGCCCGACAACACAACGCAGCCCCCGAGAUUAGGCAAUCGACUUGCAGUGGAACAGUAAAAAUCAAAUAAAGGCGAACGACCCGAUCCGACAUGGCGCACAUGACACACGGCGAGAUACUCACAUACCCCCCCACAUUUGGUUUGCCACAAACUGUUGGCACUCACCUCGUUUCGUUUUAUUUUUAUUAUUGUGUUCAGUUACUACGUAGUAUAUACAUAUAUGUAUCUAUAUAUGGCAUAUGUGUUCAGCACCUUUCCUCAAGCCAAAUAAAUAAUUCAGUUUUGUGAACUAAC
ensembl:ncRNA lncRNA:CR43836 long non-coding RNA:CR43836